GAAAACGAGAGAUGCUCUUCAGAGAUAGAUUUUAUUUCAAUUCCGUGCAAGUGUUAACGGGGUCUAAUUAACAUCAUAUCUGUUUUGAUCAUUCAUCCUUAGGCAUCAAUGAAUGUCGAAAUAUUCCGUAAUGUUGCUAGAAACUCAGUCUAAGUAUACUCAUACAGAUGUCAUACCGUGAGUAUGGAUAAAACCUAGUCCGACCUCUUUUCUCAAAUCUCCUUUUAAUUGAUUUUUUUCCAUAUGCAUUCCUCUGUAAUUCUUCAUUCCGACAACUUUUUAACACAGACACGAUUAUGUUUUUUUUUCAUACAAAAAUUGCGCACCUUGCACAUAAAUAUCAAAUUUGGUAAAUCGGAACAAACUCGGAAUGGUCAUAUAAAAAACCUAGAAUGUUAGAAGCUUUUAUGUUAACUUCUCUAGAUGUACUUUGUUUUACAUGUAUACGUCGUUAGGUUACUGUUUUGUUGGUGUUUAUCAGAAAUCUAAUUAUUAUAUUCAUGUAAAAAUGUAAGUGCCGUACACAUUCAAAAUACGUCAGUGCAAUUUGCCAUAUCCAUAUAUAUAUAGGCACGUUAUGUACCUAUUGCUAAAGAUACAUUGAAUUUUGAGGACAUGUUCAGAAUGAUUGAUGAUUUUAGUA
rnacentral:lncRNA from 1 species